rnacentral:rRNA from 1 species
UACGUAGGUGACCAGCGUUGUCCGGAUUUACUGGGCGUAAAGAGCGCGCAGGCGGUCGUUCAAGUCGAGUGUGAAAGCCCCCGGCUCAACUGGGGAGGGUCACUCGAUACUGAUCGACUUGAAGGCAGGAGAGGGAAGCGGAAUUCCCAGUGUAGAGGUGAAAUUCGUAGAUAUUGGGAAGAACACCGAUGGCGAAGGCAGCCAUCUGGACCGACACUGACGCUGAGGCGCGAAAGCGUGGGGAGCAAACAGG